GCCCUUAGAGUUGUAUCCUGGCUCAGGAUGAACGCUGGCGGCGUGCUUAACACAUGCAAGUCGAACGAAGCACUUUGAAACUUUCGGGUAUCAAAGUGACUGAGUGGCGGACGGGUGAGUAACGCGUGGGUAACCUGCCUUAUACAGGGGGAUAACAGUUAGAAAUGACUGCUAAUACCGCAUAAGCCGAUAGAGUUGCAUGACUUAGUCGGAAAAGAUUUAUCGGUAUAAGAUGGACCCGCGUCUGAUUAGCUAGUUGGUGAGGUAAUGGCUCACCAAGGCAACGAUCAGUAGCCGGCUUGAGAGAGUGAACGGCCACAUUGGGACUGAGACACGGCCCAAACUCCUACGGGAGGCAGCAGUGGGGAAUAUUGCACAAUGGGGGAAACCCUGAUGCAGCAACGCCGCGUGAAGG
rnacentral:rRNA from 1 species